CCAAUAGCGUAUAUUAAAGUUGUUGCAGUUAAAAAGCUCGUAGUUGAAUUUCGGGAUCGACGGGUCGGUCGCGCCUCUGGUGUGUACUGGCCCUGUCGGUUUCUCCCUUCUGACGAACCACGAUGUCCUUAAUUUGGUGUCGUGGGAAAUCAGGACUGUUACUUUGAAAAAAUUAGGGUGUUUAAAGCAGGCAUUCGCUUGAAUACAUUAGCAUGGAAUAAUGAAAUAGGACGUUUGAUCUUAUUUUGUUGGUUUCUAAGAUCGACGUAAUGAUUAAUAGGGAUAGUUGGGGGCAUUAGUAUUCAAUUGUCAGAGGUGAAAUUCUUGGAUUUAUUGAAGACUAACUACUGCGAAAGCAUUUGCCAAGGAUGUUUUCAUUAAUCAAGAACGAAAGUUAGGGGAUCGAAGACGAUCAGAUACCGUCGUAGUCUUAACCAUAAACUAUGCCGACUAGGGAUCGGAUGAUGUUAAUUUUUUAAUGACUCAUUCGGCGCCUUACG
rnacentral:rRNA from 1 species